rnacentral:rRNA from 1 species
GCACAAGCGGUGGAGCAUGUGGUUUAAUCGAAGCAACGCGAAGAACCUUACCAGGUCUUGACAUCCCGAUGCUAUUUCUAGAGAUAGAAGUUACUUCGGUACAUCGGUGACAGGUGGUGCAUGGUUGUCGUCAGCUCGUGUCGUGAGAUGUUGGGUUAAGUCCCGCAACGAGCGCAACCCCUAUUGUUAGUUGCCAUCAUUCAGUUGGGCACUCUAGCGAGACUGCCGGUAAUAAACCGGAGGAAGGUGGGGAUGACGUCAAAUCAUCAUGCCCCUUAUGACCUGGGCUACACACGUGCUACAAUGGUUGGUACAACGAGUUGCGAGUCGGUGACGGCGAGCUAAUCUCUUAAAGCCAAUCUCAGUUCGGAUUGUAGGCUGCAACUCGCCUACAUGAAGUCGGAAUCGCUAGUAAUCGCGGAUCAGCACGCCGCGGUGAAUACGUUCCCGGGCCUU